ACCGAACUCUAUGUAUUAGGUACUCGAGAUCCUGAAUAUUUGGUAUUAGUCGAUGCGACUUGGCAACACUACUGUUUACUAGUGUACAUACUGUGAUUAAAGAGACUACUUAAUUUAGUGAAGAGAAACAUCACAAAGAUAGUUAUGAAGAAGGCUACAAAGCAGGUGUUGAAGCCGGAAACCCUGAAGGAUAUCAUUUAGGAUAUCACAGAGGAGCUGAAUUGGGUCGUGAACUUGGCUAUUAUUUAGGUGU